UGAAACUACGGCUCUAGAACAGGCA
rnacentral:piRNA from 1 species